GUAGCCCAGUGGUUAGAGCGUCCGCCUCGGAUGCGGGUAGUCGCAGGUUCAAACCUCCGGCCCA